GUUAACGAACGAGACCUCAGCCUGCUAAAUAGUGUCAUUUUCUUCGGAAGAUGUGCACUUCUUAGAGGGACUACUUGUGAAACAACCAAGCGGAAGCUUGAGGCAAUAACAGGUCUGUGAUGCCCUUAGAUGUUCUGGGCCGCACAUGGGCUACACUGGUGCAUUCAACAAGCAUAAUCACCUUAACCGAAGGGUUUGGGUAAUCUUUGAAAUUGCACCGUGCUUGGGAUAGACUAUUGCAAUUUUUAGUCUUCAACGAGGAAUUCCUAGUAAACGCAAGUCAUCAGCUUGCAUUGAUUACGUCCCUGCCCUUUGUACACACCGCCCGUCGCUCCUACCGAUUGGAUGAUUCGGUAAGCUUUUGGGAUUGAUUACGUAUUUGUCAUUGACAUUGCGUUUUAACAACUUAAUCAAACCUAAUCAUCUAGAGGAAGGAG
rnacentral:rRNA from 1 species